rnacentral:rRNA from 1 species
GACAGAGGGUGCAAACGUUGCUCGGAAUUACUGGGCGUAAAGCGUGCGCAGGCGGUUUUGUAAGGCAGAUGUGAAAUCCCCGGGCUUAACCUGGGAAUGGCAUUUGGGACUGCAAGGCUCGAGUGCGGCAGAGGAGACUGGAAUUCCUGGUGUAGCAGUGAAAUGCGUAGAUAUCAGGAGGAACACCGAUGGCGAAGGCAGGUCUCCGGGCUGACACUGACGCUCAUGCACGAAAGCGUGGGGAGCAAACAGG